CAACCAGCCAGCUCAGCUGCAAGGUGACUGGUUGGAAGAGCCCAUAGGACCCGCCUUGUGCACACCAUCAGUGGGCCUCAUGUGCAGUCCUGGGGUCCUCAGCCCACUGCCCUACCUGCCCUCAGAGUCCUGGAGAGCACAGUCUUAUGAACUCAUCCAUUCUGACAGGGGAAUCUUCUUGACCCAGGGAUCCAACCACCUCUCUUGCAUCUCCUGCAUUGUUUCCUAUCUCCAUGGGCAAUAAUGGUGGUACCUGGUUCCACACCAGGUUCAGUCACUGCUUGGAGGAAACAGUUGCUUCCAGGCAGCUGGAGGGACUCUAAGAGGAGAAAUUCAUCACUAAUCACACUCCAAAGGACUUUUAUCCUGGAUCAUCAAGGAGUCUCCUUGUGAAGCAGAGAAGAUAAGAAAUAGACACCUUUGGGGGGGGGGGUGCCAAAUUUAUUCAUAAAGCAUUUUUACUGCUUCAUCCUUUUCCA
ensembl:lncRNA